AGAGUUUGAUCAUGGCUCAGAGUGAACGCUGGCGGCGUGCCUAACACAUGCAAGUCGAGCGGUAAGGCCCCUUCGGGGGUACACGAGCGGCGAACGGGUGAGUAACGCGUGGGUAAUCUACCCGAAAGCGGGGGACAACCUCGGGAAACCGGGGCUAAUACCGCAUAUGAUCCAUUGGAGGCACUCCUUUGGAUCAAAGGUGGCCUCUCUGCGAUGCUAUCGCUUUCGGAUGAGCCCGCGUCCCAUCAGCUUGUUGGUGAGGUAACGGCUCACCAAGGCUACGACGGGUAGCCGGCCUGAGAGGGUGUUCGGCCACAUUGGGACUGAGACACGGCCCAGACUCCUACGGGAGGCAGCAGUGGGGAAUUUUGCGCAAUGAGCGAAAGCUCGACGCAGCGACGCCGCGUGGAGGAAGAAGGCCUACGGGUUGUAAACUCCUGUCAGAAGGGAAGAAGGCUUCACGGGUGAAUAAUUCGUGAGGAUUGANNUG
rnacentral:rRNA from 1 species